rnacentral:tRNA from 1 species
GCAGCAUGUAGCUCAGUUGGUAAAGCGCUUGCCUAGCAUACAUGAAGCCCUGAGUUCAAAUCCCCAACUCUGCA